rnacentral:rRNA from 1 species
AAACGACUCUCGGCAACGGAUAUCUCGGCUCACGCAUCGAUGAAGAACGUAGCAAAAUGCGAUACUUGGUGUGAAUUGCAGAAUCCCGUGAACCAUCGAGUUUUUGAACGCAAGUUGCGCCCGAGGCCAUCCGGUUUAGGGCACGUCUGCCUGGGCGUCACGCAUCAC